rnacentral:rRNA from 1 species
AUUGAACGCUGGCGGCAGGCCUAACACAUGCAAGUCGAGCGGAGCGGCGGACGGGGGAGUAAUGCCUAGGAAUCUGCCUGGUAGUGGGGGAUAACGUCCGGAAACGGGCGCUAAUACCGCAUACUAGCAGAUGAGCCUAGGUCGGAUUAGCUGGUUGGUGGGGUAAAGGCCUAGCAAGGCGACGAUCCAUAACUGGCCUGAGAGGAUGAUCAGUCACACUGGAACUGAGACACGGCCCAGACUCCUACGGGAGGCAGCAGUGGGGAAUCUUGGACAAUGGGCGAAAGCCUGAUCCAGCAAUGCCGCGUGUGUGAAGAAGGCUUUCGGAUUGUAAAGGACUUUUGUUAGGGAAGCGGUACCUAAAGAAAAAGCACCGGCUAACUACGUGCCAGCAGCCGCGGUAAUUC